rnacentral:lncRNA from 1 species
UGAGGAAAUGAUUCCUCUGCCUCUGCUGCGUUGGCUUCCGAGCCUCGAUCACGCGGCAGCUCGACGUCCCAGGUGGUGUAGUUUUGCACAUCACUUUGUGGAGUAGAAGGGGCAGCAAUGAAUGAAAAUCAGAAGCCAGAUGAGAAGAAGCCAGUAAAAAUGCAGUUGAUUUACAGAAACUCAGGCUUGACAAGCUUUUCAAGAACAUUGACCGGCCAGUGCAUCUGCCAGAGGCGUCCAAGUCGCGCACUUUCUCGGCGGCGCCCGAGUUUGUGCGCAACGUGAUGGGCUCGAGCGCUGGCGCCGGCAGCGGCGAGUUCCACGUGUACCGGCAUAUCCGGCGGCGAGAGAACGCCCGCCAGAAGUUCAUCGCCGAGGAGGCCG